CAUGGGGCCGAUGCGGUGCCCAGGGCCGAUGCCAGGAGCUGAGCCAUCGCAUCGCGCGGCACAGCCAGCCCAGUGCAGCCCCGGCACUGCCGAUGCCGCCUGCACGGCAGCUCGCAGCCUGCCCGCUGCUCGGGAGGAUUUGUGCUGCGUGGCUGAGUUUGGUGUCAUUUUGCUCCCCCCCAUCCCUUCUUCCUUCCUCUUUCCUCCCCCUUCCCCUUGUCUGGCAGGGACACAGCAGGGCCGGAUCCGGACCCUUCUGCAGGUGCCCCAGGACUUUCGGUGGCAGGGCACCCUUGCGGAAUGGAAUGGGUGCUGGACCCCCGAGGUGCUGCUGGACCCCCCCUUGCUGGGUGAGGGCAGCUGCUCUGCCGUACCAAAUCGCACCACCCAAGCCGGAGACCCAGCGCCCACCAGCUCCCCACCGCCGGCACGGCAAAUCCCCCUUGGUCAUGGCAUCCUGUGAAUGCUGCGCUUCGGCAUCCUGCAGACAGGUCUGUCUGCCGGAGAUGAAUUCGGCUGCACCGCUGCCAGGCUCUGCCCUCUAAGUCAUCUCCCGCCAGCAGCAGACAGCUCGGUAAUGAAGCGUAAUGCUCCGGCACUCCCCUGAGUGACAGUGGCCAGCACCGGCUGCGUCCCGGCGCUCGGCACGGCCUCCCCUGCCUGCCGGGGGACAAAAAGAAGGGAAAA